UACGUAGGCAGCGAGCGUUGUUCGGAGUUACUGGGCGUAAAGAGUGCGUAGGCGGUUUUCUAAGUUUGGUGUGAAAUCUCCCGGCUUAACUGGGAGGGUGCGCCGAAAACUGGAAGGCUUGAGUAUGGGAGAGGUAAGCGGAAUUCCUGGUGUAGCGGUGAAAUGCGUAGAUAUCAGGAGGAACACCUGCGGUGUAGACGGCUUACUGGACCAUAAACUGACGCUGAGGCACGAAAGCGUGGGUAGCAAACAGG
rnacentral:rRNA from 1 species